rnacentral:tRNA from 1 species
UCCCCUGUGGCGCAAUGGUAGCGCGGCCGCCUGUUAAGCGGAAGGUUUGUCGGUUCGAGUCCGACCGGGGGAG